UACAGAGGGUGCGAGCGUUAAUCGGAAUUACUGGGCGUAAAGCGUGCGCAGGCGGUGAUGUAAGACAGGUGUGAAAUCCCCGGGCUUAACCUGGGAACUGCAUUUGUGACUGCAUCGCUGGAGUGCGGCAGAGGGGGAUGGAAUUCCGCGUGUAGCAGUGAAAUGCGUAGAUAUGCGGAGGAACACCGAUGGCGAAGGCAAUCCCCUGGACCUGUACUGACGCUCAUGCACGAAAGCGUGGGGAGCAAACAGG
rnacentral:rRNA from 1 species